rnacentral:rRNA from 1 species
UCGACGGAGAGUUUGAUCCUGGCUCAGGACGAACGCUGGCGGCAUGCCUAAUACAUGCAAGUCGAACGCGGCCAUCCGGUGCUUGCACUGGUGAAGCCGAGUGGCGAACGGGUGAGUAACACGUGAGAAACCUGCCCUGGAGUGGGGAAUAACUCGAAGAAAUUCGAGCUAAUACCGCAUACCUUCUCUUCACCGCAUGGUGAGUUGAAGAAAGAUUUAUCGCUCUAGGAGGGUCUCGCGGCCUAUCAGCUAGUUGGUGAGGUAAUGGCUCACCAAGGCAUCGACGGGUAGCUGGUCUGAGAGGACGAUCAGCCACACUGGGACUGAGACACGGCCCAGACUCCUACGGGAGGCAGCAGUAGGGAAUCUUGCGCAAUGGGCGAAAGCCUGACGCAGCAAUGCCGCGUGCGGGACGAAGGCCCUAGGGUCGUAAACCGCUUUCAGUAGGGACGAAAAUGACGG